CAAUAGCGUAUAUUAAAGUUGUUGCAGUUAAAAAGCUCGUAGUUGGAUUUCUGGUGGGAGCGAUCGGUCUGGCGCUUAGCGCGAGUACUUGCAUCGUCUCCGGCCAUCCUUGGGGAGAGUCUGUCUGGCAUUAGGUUGUCGGGCAGAGGAUCCUCAUCGUUUACUGUGAAAAAAUUAGAGUGUUCAAAGCAGGCUUAUGCCGUUGAAUAUAUUAGCAUGGAAUAAUAAGAUAGGACUUUGGUACUAUUUUGUUGGUUUGCGCACCAAAGUAAUGAUGAAUAGGGACAGUUGGGGGUAUUCGUAUUCCGUUGUCAGAGGUGAAAUUCUUGGAUUUACGGAAGACGAACUACUGCGAAAGCAUUUACCAAGGAUGUUUUCAUUAA
rnacentral:rRNA from 1 species